UACGUAGGGUGCAAGCGUUAUCCGGAAUUAUUGGGCGUAAAGAGCUCGUAGGCGGUUUGUCGCGUCUGCUGUGAAAACUGGAGGCUCAACCUCCAGCCUGCAGUGGGUACGGGCAGACUAGAGUGCGGUAGGGGAGAUUGGAAUUCCUGGUGUAGCGGUGGAAUGCGCAGAUAUCAGGAGGAACACCGAUGGCGAAGGCGGAUCUCUGGGCCGUAACUGACGCUGAGGAGCGAAAGCAUGGGGAGCGAACAGG
rnacentral:rRNA from 1 species